rnacentral:rRNA from 1 species
CCUACGGGAGGCAGCAGUGAGGAAUAUUGGUCAAUGGACGAGAGUCUGAACCAGCCAAGUAGCGUGAAGGAUGACUGCCCUAUGGGUUGUAAACUUCUUUUAUAAAGGACUAAAACGAGGCACGUGUGCCUUUUUGCAUGUACUUUAUGAAUAAGGAUCGGCUAACUCCGUGCCAGCAGCCGCGGUAAUACGGAGGAUCCGAGCGUUAUCCGGAUUUAUUUGGUUUAAAGGGAGCGUAGAUGGGUUUUUAAGUCAGUUGUGAAAGUUUGCGGCUAAACCGUAAAAUUGCAAUUGAUACUGGCAGUCUUGAGUACAGUUGAGGUAGGCGGAAUGCGUGGUGUAGCGGUGAAAUGCUUAGAUAUCACGAAGAACCCCGAUUGCGAAGGCAGCUUACUAAACUGUGACUGACAUUGAUGCUCGAAAGUGUGGGUAUCAAACAGGAUUAGAUACCCCAGUAGUC